UAUGACGGACGGUGUGCCGCUA
rnacentral:siRNA from 1 species